CAGCCGCCUUCAAUAGGAGUGCACCGCGGGAAACGGCGGAUGUAGAACCUGUCAAAUUCGGGGAAACCUUCCGCUUUCGGGCGAUGGCAAUCCCGAGCCAAGCCCCGGCAACGGGGAAGGUGUAGAGACUAGACGGCAGGCACCUAACGGCGCAGCGCGCCAAUGGUGAAGGGAUAGUCCAGGCCAUGACGCCGGUAUGGCGG
rnacentral:ncRNA from 1 species